AGCCUCGCGUCUUCGUCGUAUCCAUCUGGACAAUCAGGAGCCCCAUCGCAUAGGUACUGGAUUGAAAUACAAGCACCGUUUCCUGGGCAUUUAAAGGGCUCGUAAGGAUGGCAAGGUUCACCUAAAGAAAAUAAAUGUUUCAGUAAAUUGAUCACAAUGGCACGAUAUUUUGGCUCGUUAUAACGAAUAUUGUGUUUGUAACGUUUGUUGGCCCUUGGGGAAUAAACGCAUCAAAAGCAUACCAAGACUUACCGAUAAGUAAAAACAUAUUUAUGUGUAAUUUCCAAGAGAGUUGGGAAACAACUGAAUUUUGAUUGUAAUUCUACCAUUUGUUGUUACCGACUAAACGAAGAAAUUAUGUGCAUAAGGAAAUAAACCGAGAUGAACGAAAUUUUCUUAGCUAUUUACAAGGAAUCAGUUUAAGAAAUUAAUUAUAAAUAAUUGUAUAAUUUAUGUUCUAAAAUUGUAUGUAACUUUUAAAUAAGUCAAUGUUUGACGACGCACAACUAAUAAGUUAUUUCAAAACAAAUAGUAAUUAAAAUGGUUUUAUUACUCAAUAAAAGACUUAGCCACGAAAUGAAUCGAUAUUCUCGAUAUACGUUAGCCAUUUUUGAAUUUGUUAUUAACAAAAUAUUGUUCAUUUGAUCGUAAAACAUUAAUUGCGUUUUUCCUAUGGAGUUUUAUGUGUCAUUCAUAUUAAUGUCUUUAUUUAAGUUGGUUAAAUUAUGACCAUUUUAUAUUAAUCAACCUUAUAGCGCUAAUUCAAACAUGUUAAAAGAGUUUUAGCAUUUAUUUAUACAGUAAUCAGUAAGUAAGGAAACGGGUUUCUAUUGUUACCAUUGUGUUUAACAAUUAACAUGUUUCCUUACAUACUCUGUAUACAUAAUAUCUUAAGACUAUUCAGUGAUAAUCUAGUGGCACAACUAGAAUAAUAUUACUAGCGGGUGCUAAUUAAUGGAAGAUUAAUUUUACCCUAAUAAUUAUAAUAUAUAAGUAUUAAUUAAUAAAUACAUUUUUUACAUUAAAUAAAUAUCUAACAUAAUAAUAAUAAUGUUGGUGAUUUAAAAUGGUGAAAUUAAAUGUUUAAACCUCAGUGAGUUUUAUUUAUUAUUUUUUGUAAAAGAUAAAAAUACGUAAAAUACGUAGUUAUAUUAUAUUUUCUUAUUAUAUAUAAGAAGAUUUAUUCUGUGAAUUAAAAAUUACUUAAAGAAUAAACGUAUACUUAGUCUUUUUACGAUGAUGAACAUUUAGCUUUUAAGAAUUUCGUGUACUCGGAAUUGUGUUCAGCAUUAAAAAUUUAAAUGUUUAAAUAUUCAUUAGUCAUUCAUUACACGCGAAAAUGAAAAAAAUAAAUGAAUGAGAGUGUUGAAUGGAGUAAGCGCUUAUUUACAUAAUAUAAACAACAUUGGAAUAAGUUUUUUUAUUUUUGAAGCAACUUUUUUUCAUUAUAUUAAAAUUAAUUUCAAUGUUUUAAGAUUUUAAAAAUAAAAUUGCUUCUGUUAUACUUAAUUUUACAGUUUUAUCGCGAGUUCAUAACAAAAAAUAAUAAUUUAAAAAUAAAUAAUUUGUAAUAAAGUUAUGGACCACGAUAAAUUAUGAUUUUAAAAUAUCAGAAUCUACAUAUUAAAUUGAUGUAAACGGGUUUUUUCAUGAUGUUCUAACAAAUGUAUAUAUUUAUAUUAUGGUAAAUUAUUAUAACAUGUGGACCUAUAUAGAAAUUUGUUCUUUUUUUUUUACAUGGUCAAUUUUACGACACUAAAGCUUAAUAAUAUCAACCAAAUUUUCAAAUCAAUUAUUUAAAAAGU